rnacentral:misc_RNA from 1 species
GAUGAAGAACGUAGCGAAAUGCGAUAAGUAAUGUGAAUUGCAGAAUUCAGAGAAUCAUCGAAUCUUUGAACGCACAUUGCGCCCUCUGGUAUUCCGGGGGGCAUGCCUGUUCGAGCGUCAUUAUAACCACUCAAGCUCUCGCUUGGUAUUGGAGUUCGCGAUCUCGCGGCUCCUAAAAUCAGUGGCGGUGCCUGUCGGCUCUACGCGUAGUAAUACUCCUCGCGAUUGAGUCCGGUAGGUUUACUUGCCAGCAACCCCCAAUUUUUACAGGUUGACCUCGGAUCAGGUAGGGAUACCCGCUGAACUUAAGCAUAUCAAUAAGCGGAGGA